AUUUCAUGGGUUUAACAACAACAUUUUCAUCAUUCACACAAUUCUAUCUAAUUUCAAGGGUUUAACAAUAACAUUUUCAUCAUUCACACAAUUCAAUCAAAUUUCACGGGUUUAAAACAUGAUUUACAUCAUUCCCACAAUUCAAUUAAAUUUCAUGGGUUUAACACCAACAUUUUUAUGAUUAACAAUAUUCAAUCAAAUUUCAUGGGUUUAACAACAACAUUUUCAUCAUUUCCACAAUUUAAUCAAAUUUCAUGGGUUUAACAAUAAUAUUUUAAUUAUUCUCACAAUUCAAUCAGAUUUCAUGGGUUUACAAACAACAUUUUCAUCAUUUAA
rnacentral:lncRNA from 1 species